GCAUAUCAAUAAGCGGAGGAAAAGAAACCACAGGGAUGCUCUAGUAACGGCGAGUGAAGCAGCAAUAGCUCAAUUUGAAAUCUGGCGUCUUCGACGUCCGAGUUGUAAUUUGUAGAGGAUGCUUCUGAGUGGCCACCGACCUAAGUUCCUUGGAACAGGACGUCAUAGAGGGUGAGAAUCCCGUAUGCGGUCGGAAAGGCGCUCUAUACGUAGCUCCUUCGACGAGUCGAGUUGUUUGGGAAUGCAGCUCUAAAUGGGAGGUAAAUUUCUUCUAAAGCUAAAUAUUGGCCAGAGACCGAUAGCGCACAAGUAGAGUGAUCGAAAGAUGAAAAGCACUUUGGAAAGAGAGUUAAAAAGCACGUGAAAUUGUUAAAAGGGAAGGGAUUGCAACCAGACUUGCUCGCGGUGUUCCGCCGGUCUUCUGACCGGUCUACUCGCCGCGUUGCAGGCCAGCAUCGUCUGGUGCCGCUGGAUAAGACUUGAGGAAUGUAGCUCCUCGGGAGUGUUAUAGCCUCUUGUGAUGCAGCGAGCGCCGGGCGAGGUCCGCGCUUCGGCUAGGAUGCUGGCGUAAUGGUCGUAAUCCGCCCGUCUUGAAACACGGACCAAGGAGUCUAACAUCUAUGCGAGUGUUCGGGUGUCAAACCCCUACGCGUAAUGAAAGUGAACGGAGGUGAGAACCGCAAGGUGCAUCAUCGACCGAUCCUGAUGUCUUCGGAUGGAUUUGAGUAAGAGCAUAGCUGUUGGGACCCGAAAGAUGGUGAACUAUGCCUGAAUAGGGUGAAGCCAGAGGAAACUCUGGUGGAGGCUCGCAGCGGUUCUGACGUGCAAAUCGAUCGUCAAAUUUGGGUAUAGGGGCGAAAGACUAAUCGAACCAUCUAGUAGCUGGUUCCUGCCGAAGU
rnacentral:rRNA from 1 species